GACGAACGCUGGCGGCGUGCCUAAUACAUGCAAGUCGAACGCAGUGGGGACGGGUGAGUAACACGUGGGUAACCUCCCAUCAGAGGGGAUAACCCUUGGAAACAGGUGCUAAACCGAUACUGAUGGAUGGACCCGCGGUGCAUUAGCUAGUUGGUGAGGUAACGGCUCACCAAGGCCACGAUGCAUAGCCGAGCGGAGAGGGGGAUCGGCCACACUGGGACUGAGACACGGCCCAGACGCCUACGGGAGGAAGCAGUAGGGAAACUUCGGCAAGGGACGGAAGUCUGACCGAGCAACGCCGCGGGAGUGAAGAAGGUUUUCGGGUCGUAAAGCUCUGUUGUUAGAGAAGCGGUAUCUAACCAGAAAGCCACGGCUAACUACGUGCCAGCAGCCGCGGUAAUUC
rnacentral:rRNA from 1 species